AGCGAACGCUGGCGGCAGGCCUAACACAUGCAAGUCGAACGAACCUUUCGGGGUUAGUGGCGGACGGGUGAGUAACCCGUGGGAACGUGCCUUUAGGUUCGGAAUAACUCAGGGAAACUUGUGCUAAUACCGAAUGUGCCCCUCGGGGGAAAGAUUUAUCGCCUUUAGAGCGGCCCGCGUCUGAUUAGCUAGUUGGUUGAGGUAAUGGCUUACCAAGGCGACGAUCAGUAGCUGGUCUGAGAGGAUGAUCAGCCACAUUGGGACUGAGACACGGCCCAAACUCCUACGGGAGGCAGCAGUGGGGAAUCUUGCGCAAUGGGCGAAAGCCUGACGCAGCCAUGCCGCGUGAAUGAUGAAGGUCUUAGGAUUGUAAAAUUCUUUCACCGGGGACGAUAAUGACGGUACCCGGAGAAGAAGCCCCGGCUAACUUCGUG
rnacentral:rRNA from 1 species